rnacentral:lncRNA from 1 species
UAAACAAUUAUAAAUCAUUCUACUAUAAAGACACAUGUACAUGUAUGUUUAUUGCAGCAUUAUUCGCAAUAGCAAAGAGUUGGAGCUACUUUCUACUUCUAGAGGUUUUUGUCAUCUGGAGACACUGGAAAUGGAAAGCAAGAUUAUCUGUGGAACUCACAGAUGCAGAGAUGAAGUGUGGAGUGUGUAGUAGACAGAAUGAUGGUCCCCCACAGAUAUCCAUGUCCUCAUUCCAGAAACCUGUGAAUAUACCUAACGUGGCAACACACCACGUGGAUAGUAAUAGGUUAAGAAUGUUGCUUUGGGAAGAAUAUUCAGGGUUAUCCAGGUGAGUCCACUGUAACCACAAAUAUCCUCCUAAGAAAGAGCCAGAAAGAUUAGAGCGGG